AUGGGCAGGGGGGUGGUGGGGAGGGCACGGGUGGCAGACUAAAAAGAGAAGUGGGAAAUGGGCUUAGGGGCCACGAGAAGAAAGGGAGCGAGGGAGAGAACUGCCGAACGGGAGAGCAGGGCGUGGGGGAGGGGAGAAGGGAGCCAGACGGGGGAAGGGAGAGGGUGUUAGGAGUCCUAGCCUCCCGAGACGGCUCUUAAAGACAGCUUCGGGGACGCCGCCGCUCUUCACGCUCUCUCAGACGUCCUGCAGGAGUUGCAGACUUGACUCUACUCCCGAACAGAAGUACUCAUGCCCAAAUGGGGACGGGGAGUGCAACAGAGCAAAAAAGGAUCUGUAGCAGGUAGAAGUCGACAGGAGAGGGGGCAAGGAAAGUGCUGAUGAGGAGAGGCAAAAAGGAUGAGGAUGGGAGAAAGAAGGGCGGCCAGGAUGAGGUCGCCUCUCCCUGGGGGCCAGGCUGUCACCCUGCUAUCUUCUGUGGACCUCAAGGAUGGAGGCAACCGGAAGCUGAAACCAUCCACACAUGGUUCCAAAAUCUCCCUGGGCAACAAGAACUAGUUCUGGCUUGUUCUCUGUCUUCUCUGAGUGUGGAUUAAGUGAUACUGUGUCAGGACAGAAGUCAUCUCAGGAACACAAUAAGCGUCCUCGUUCUACUGACUUUGUGACUUGCUCCAAUUGAGGCUGUGUGGGCAGAAGAGACAGCACACUGGCCCGGAGCAGUGGCUUUCCAAGGCAUCUCACCCUUUGUCUCUUUAGCACUCGGGUCACCCAAGAAGAGAAGAGCAGGCCCCAGGAGCCAUUGCUUCUUUUUCAGACUCCUGGUUUGAGAGACACACUGCACUGAUCUGGAGCCUGGAGCAAAGCCCAGAAGAGCUACAGCUGAGCCACAGGCAAAUCACAGACUCGUGAGUAAGAGGUACUCGUUGUUGUAAGUCAGUAAGAUUUGGGCUUGUUUGUUGCUGAAGCAAAAGCUGACUAAUCCACCCAUCAUAUACUCAGAAGGAAGAUUGAAAGUGGAAUAUUGGUGGCUAGCCACAUUGCCUUUUAAAGUGAAGUGAGUACUCCAGAUUGCCAACUAGUAAAUGUUGAAGGAAUGAUACCACUAGACAUCACUAUUUUGCCAUCCUGAAAUAAUUAAUUCCAGCAGUUAUUAUCAAUGAAUUUGGAACCAUUAGGUGAAAGUUUAUUUGGAAAUAGAAUAUUUGGAUGAGGCUAAGUAGCAUCUUGUGGGUUACUUCCUGCUUGCAGGGGGUUCGUUGUCGCUUUGGAGAGAGCUGGUGAAAUCAAACUGUAUGUCACUGAUAGAGGACAGCUUGACAUUGUGUGCUCCUUGCGUGAUAUGGUUUGAAGCAACAGCGCUGCCUUUGAAAUAUCCCUGCCUGAAAUAUCUUUCAUCUGUAUUUAAUCAAGACUUUAGAGUUUCAAUAUACAGGGAGUACAGGAGACAUAGGAGCAUGUUAAAUGAUGUUGCAGGAGACAAUGCAUCAGGAAUGUGGUAAUUUUAUAAGGUGAUUGUUCUAAUUUCUUCAAAAUCCCCAUGUCACAGGGAUUAAAAAAAAACAAUAUGUGUGGCUGUUCUGAUUUAAAAAUGACAAAAGAUAUAAGACAAAUGUAGUGCAUAAACCUUGAUUGGAUUCUAGUUUCAAAAAAACUCACUAGUUUCAAAAAAAAAAAAAACUAUAAAAGUUUCAAAAGUUUUUCUAGUUUCAAAAAAACUAUAAAAGCAUCUGUUGGUCAGUUUGGGAAAUUUGACCAUAUGGCCUGAUAGUUGGAUGAUAACAGGGUAUUUUUUUUUUUAUAAUAUUCCUAGGUGAUGAUAAAAGUACUGAAGCUCUGUAGAAGACAUUUUUCUUAUAGAAAAUGUAUGCUGAAGUAUUUAAUGGCUAAAUAUCAAACCCAGUUUCAAAUAGCUUGACAAUAAAUUUAUACAGAUAAACAAACACCAACAUAAUACUUAUAAUUCAAGCAAAUUGUUAACAUUUCUUGAAUAUGAGUGGUGUAUACAAGUGUUCAUGAUAUUAAUCUUUCAAAUUUAUAUUGAAAACAUUCUGUAUAAAAUGUUUCAUAUAAAAAACCUGAGUGGUGGAAUUUGAAUCUGUGCUCAAAAUGUCAUUCCAAUCCAGAAGUCUAGCAGGAUAAAUGUGACAUCAAUUUUUCUUUUUUUUUUAAUUAACUUUUAUUGGUGUAUAGUUGAUUUAUAAUGUAUAGGUUUCAGGUAUACAGAAAAGUGAAUCCAGCCUGUUUUAGAUUCUGAUAUAGGUCAUUACAGAGUAUUGAGUAGACUUCCCUGUGCUAUAUAUUAGGUUCUUAUUAAUUAUCUAUUGUAUAUAUAGUAGUGUGUAUAUGUCAAUCAAUUUGUUUUCUUUUACUUGCUUUUGAGCCAUUUUAUUUCAGGCAUCCUUAUCCUGAAUGGUUGCUCCUGACCUUCUGCAUCCUCCAUUUUUUUUUUUUU